CACCGUGCAUCAGAGAGGCAACAAGUGGUGCCGAAACCCGGGAAUAGUCGCUUGGAUUCGGGUGAACGGCGGCCGGAGCGGCAGGACCAGCCCGGCGGGGAGGACGCUCCCGGACCAGCAAGGAGGAUGGAAGCCCUUGCGAAGGUCCAUGGAGCCUGCCU